rnacentral:rRNA from 2 species
UUGGAGGGCAAGUCUGGUGCCAGCAGCCGCGGUAAUUCCAGCUCCAAUAGCGUAUAUUAAAGUUGUUGCAGUUAAAAAGCUCGUAGUUGAUUUCGGGGUUAGUAGGUUGGUCAUGCCUCUGGUAUGUACUGGUCUCACUGAUUCCUCCUUCCUGAUGAACCGUAAUGCCAUUAAUUUGGUGUUGCGGGGAAUUUGGACUGUUACUUUGAAAAUUAGAGUGUUUAAAGCAAGCUAACGCUUGAAUACAUUAGCAUGGAAUAAUGAAAUAGGACGUUCGAUCCUAUUGUUGGUUUCUAGGAUUGACGUAAUGAUUAAUAGGGAUAGUUGGGGGCAUUAGUAUCAAUUGUCAGAGGUGAAAUUCUUGGAUUUAUUGAAGACUAACUACUGCGAAAGUUUGCCAAGGAUGUUUUCAUUAAUCAAGAACGAAAGUUAGGGGAUCGAAGACGAUCAGAUACCGUCGUAGUCUUAACCAUAAACUAUGCCGACUAGGGAUCGGAUGAUGUUAAUUUUUUAAUGACUCAUUCGGCGCCUUACGGGAAAC